UACGAAGGGGGCUAGCGUUGCUCGGAAUCACUGGGCGUAAAGCGCACGUAGGCGGAUCUUUAAGUCAGGGGUGAAAUCCCGGAGCUCAACUCCGGAACUGCCUUUGAUACUGGGGAUCGUUGGCGAGUCCGGGAGAGGUGAGUGGAACUGCGAGUGUAGAGGUGAAAUUCGUAGAUAUCGCAAGAACACCAGUGGCGAAGGCGGCUCACUGGCCCGGUACUGACGCUGAGGUGCGAAAGCGUGGGGAGCAAACAGG
rnacentral:rRNA from 1 species